rnacentral:rRNA from 1 species
UACGUAGGGUGCGAGCGUUGCCCGGAUUUAUUGGGCGUAAAGGGCGCGUAGGCGGCUCGGCACGUCCGUUGUGAAAUCGCCCGGCUCAACUGGGCGGGGUCAGCGGAUACGGUCGAGCUUGAGCAAGCUAGGGGGCAAUGGAAUUCCCGGUGUAGUGGUGGAAUGCGUAGAGAUCCGGAGGAACACCAGCGGCGAAGGCGGCAUCCUGGACUGGUCCUGACACUCAUGAGCGAAAGCGUGGGGAGCGAUCCGG